rnacentral:lncRNA from 1 species
CAAGCAGAUGGGUCUAUACUGUCUCCCAGAACAGGACUUCUUUAUCUCAAAAACUCCCCACUGUUGCUGAAGGUCCACACUGAAGUAUAUCCAGGGAAGGCAAAAUGAUCGAAGCCAUAGGGAAUCAGUAUGUGGUGGCCAGACCGGUGUAUUCCACAAAGGCUUUCGGAGAGGAGUUUAAGAAGACAUACGGACAUCACAAGACAUUCCUGGAUCAUCUCAAAGGGUGUUGUAGCUGCUCCUCACAAAAGGCCAAGAAAAUUGCCCUGUCUUUGUUCCCCAUAGCAUCUUGGUUGCCAGCAUACAAGAUAAAGGAAUGGCUUCUCA